GCCUAACCUGACACACAAUUAAACCACUAAUUGUCCGCCAAAUAACUACGAGCUUAAAACUUAAAACUUAAAAGACUUGACGGUACUUCACACCACCCUAGAGGAGCCUGUCUAAUAACCGAUACUCCACGAUUAACCCAACCCACUCUAGCCUAAACAGUCUAUAUACCGCCAUCGCCAGCUUACCUUGUGAAAGAAACAAAGCGAGCUUAAUAGCUACCACUAAUACGAUAGGUCGAGGUGUAACUAAUGAGUGGGAACAGAUGGGCUACAUUUUCUAAGACAGAAAAUACGAAGAGACUACGAAAAUAGAAACCGAAGGCGGAUUUAGCAGUAAAUUAAGGACAAUAAGCCUAAUCGAAACAAACGCAAUGAAGUGUGUACACACCGCCCGUCAUCCCUGUAAAAAAAUCAACAAACUUCAUAAACACAAAAACCUAAUUAAACAGGGCAAGUCGUAACAUGGUAAGCGUACUGGAAAGUGCGCUUAGAAA
rnacentral:rRNA from 1 species